rnacentral:lncRNA from 1 species
CAUCCUCUUCUGGAUCAAAAUCUGGAUUAUCACUUGGAGGAAGUGUACGGAAGAUGUUAGCACUGAUUUUUUACUAUAUCAGAAUACGCUGAUUCAACAAUUACACCACGAUUAGUUGAAACAUACUCAACCAGUUCAUUCAGUGUUGCUCUUUUAAUUUCUUUGCUCUUCAAGUCUGAAACAGAGUCCAUGAAAUCAAACAGUAUACAACACUGCUGCAACUUCUGACAGAAAAGCUCUUGUUGUUCAUUUGAAGUGGCAUCCCUUUGAGCUGGGGCAGCGGGUGCAGCUCUGCCUGGCUGCCCUGGCUGCGAAACUGCGACGAGCCCUGGGAGCGCUUCUGCCUCUGCGCCUUGCGGACCGAUUUCCGGGUGAAGCCGUCCA